rnacentral:rRNA from 1 species
AGAGUUUGAUCAUGGCUCAGAAUCAACGCUGGCGGCGCGCUUAACACAUGCAAGUCGCACGAGAAAGCCGGAGCAAUCUGGUGAGUACAGUGGCGUACGGGUGAGUAACACGUGGAUGAUCUGCCCUUUAGUGGGGAAUAACCCUGGGAAACCGGGGCUAAUACCGCAUAAGCCUGUAAAGGGAAAGCAGCAAUGCGCUGAAGGAGGAGUCCGCGGCCGAUUAGCUAGUUGGUAGGGUAAUGGCCUACCAAGGCAAUGAUCGGUAGCCGGCCUGAGAGGGCACACGGCCACACUGGCACUGAAACACGGGCCAGACUCCUACGGGAGGCAGCAGUGGGGAAUCUUGCACAAUGGGGGAAACCCUGAUGCAGCGACGCCGCGUGAGCGAUGAAGCCCUUCGGGGUGUAAAGCUCUUUCGGCAGGAACGAUAAUGACGGUACCUGAAGAAGAAGCUGCGGCUAACUACGUGCCAGCAGCCGCGGUAAUACGUAGGCAGCAAGCGUUGUUCGGAGUUACUGGGCGUAAAGAGUGUGUAGGCGGUUCUCUAAGUUCGGUGUGAAAUCUCCCGGCUCAACUGGGAGGGUGCGCCGAAAACUGGAGGGCUCGAGUAUGGGAGAGGAAAGCGGAAUUCCUGGUGUAGCGGUGAAAUGCGUAGAUAUCAGGAGGAACACCUGCGGUGUAGACGGCUUUCUGGACCAUCACUGACGCUGAGACACGAAAGCGUGGGGAGCAAACAGGAUUAGAUACCCUAGUAGUCC